rnacentral:lncRNA from 1 species
GGCAUACUGCUCAAUGAGGCGUGUCUGUGCUCACGUGGGCUGGGACUCGAACGUUUCCACUAUCUUCCUCCUUUUUCCUUGGGUUCACAAUGCUUUAGCCAUAUCAUGCAGUGAACCCACUACCUUGAAGCUCACGGCGUAAUAUGAACACCAGAAACUCGGAUGCACGGUCUCGUGAAAGGUCCUGUAAAGGAAUCCUCACGCGGACGCAGCUGGAGCAUGAAAACAUCUCAGUACCCGAGACUCAGGGAUAGAUUUCUCCUUCUCAUUGACAGGUUACAGUAGUGGUGUAACACACGCCGGUGUUUUCAGCACUCGGACUGAAUAUGUACCAGGGACAUUCACAGUCUCUGGACUUUGGCUGCAUCCGAAAACUGAAAAAUGCUGCCUUCGGAGGACGCAUUCAAAGGUAGGAAGGCAUCAAGGCAUGACCAAAUUCAAUGUUAGCUUCAGUUCCUGUCACCUGAGAUGCCUCCAUCUGGCCGAUUUUUGAAGGCAGCAUAGAUGUAUCCUUCACUGCCUUUGAUAUCCCACAAUCCUGUGCGUUCCAUUCUAUGACAGUUAAGCCAAAAAAUAAAGAUUGCGAUCGGUGGUCAGUUUGUGUGUAAAUGUAUGUUUUUGAUAAAUGUUUUCCACUUUUUAUGUCAUUUCUAGCGAGAAAUUAAUAUUGCAGUAAUGAAAUAUACACUUUGUUAUCACCAAAGCUCUCUAUAUUUUGCUGUAGAUCAUUAAACCGUUACUCUGCCUCAGAAGCCUGUCCAAAAUCACGUUCUGUCUGAUCGGGGGUCUUUUGUGCACUCAAGUUCGUUAUUUCAAAUGAAGACGCGGUCGCAACUCAUCUUUUUUUCCAGUCGCGUCCACGCCGCAUCCAGAUAAAAACAUUUAAACUUUUCAGUAUGCCACAAACUCACCACGGGUCUUGUGACAAGAACCAAUCAGCUUCAUCUUUUCCUGUAACAACAUUAAAAGCUCAGCAAAGAUGAAGGAACAGCUGAUCAUAGCUGUAUGGAUAGCCAUUUUUAAAGGGAUCGUAUGAUGCUAUUUAAAUUUUUCCUUUCUCUUUGGAGUGUUACAAGCUCUUGGUGCAUAAAAAAGAUCUGUAAAGUUGCAAAGACUAAAGUCUCAAAUCCAAAGAGAUAUUCUUUAUAAAAGUUAAGAGUCAACCACGCCUACCUAAAAUGGC